ensembl:lncRNA
GGCUAUGUGGCCUCAUUGCUGCUGCUCUCCUAUGAGGAACUUAAAAACAACAUCGGUUAAAGCAAUGACACAAUUAUGUCAGAGCUCCGUUUUGCAGUCUCUGGCAAAGACAUUCAGGCCAUUCCUCUGGAUUGUAGCUCUGGCUUACUGUUGUACCCUUACAGCCAGAGAAGUAUCUGCUCUGUCUGAAGUGCAACAUGAAAAAGAGGUCAGAAAUAAGUAGUAAAUUUGCCUUGUUAUUGCAGGGACAGAGCUUAAGUGGCUGCAGCUUCAACUGGAAAAUCACUUUGAACCCAUGAGUUGUCAUAGCCAUGAGAGUUGCUUGUUAUUUUGAUGACAUCUUUGCAGCGUACCUGGAGAACCCAGAGGGUUAACUGAGCUUCACUUUUCAGAAGGAAGCUGCAUCACCCUUGUUCACCUGCAUCUCACCAUGCCUGGGGGGGUUUCCCGUGCCCCCCUGGCCCAGGUACAGCCUGCAGGGCAGCUUCAGGACAGAUGCCCUUUGGGGCUGCAGCGGUGCUCACCUGAGUUCUCCCAGUGCCGCACAGGGUGGGGGGAGCAAUCCACAUCCUCUCCCUGCUGCGUUAAUGGGGGCUUUUUCCUUUCCUUGCAAAGCUUCCCUGCAGGGCAGCUGAGGGCAUCCUGGGGAGGGUGAGGGAACCCUGAGGGGUGGACGGAGGUAGGGGACACCGUCCCCUCUCCCUGAUGCUGUUGCUGAUGCUAUGCUGGAGCCCUCGUAGAUGUGGCUCCCCAGAGUUAGUUGCUCAGCAACCAGAAUCAAUUAAUAUGCUUUGCAGAAAGUGCAGGGGAAGCCCAAGCUGCUGUCAGUGAGAAGGCAGGAGGCAGAGGGUGACUCAGGAUCCCAUUCCCUCCUGUCACCUAUUUGGUCCCACCCCAUCCUCUCCAAACUCGCCAUUAGCCACUGUUCUUUUUCCAUUUCUUCCCUACGAUGACUUAGUGUGCGUGUCACCAAAUUCUUCAGGCAAAGUAUCUUCUUGCUCAAGAACUUUCCUGCUUUCAGGGUUUUGGUUUUAGAUCUAAUUUGUGGUUUGGGGUUGUCAAUCUUCCUUCAACACUUUUCUAGAAAUUCUAAUAUUCGUGUUCUUUGGGAAGGGAAAGAGACAGCUGAUGUUUUUAUCGGAUUGUAUUAAAGAUUCCUCAGGAUAAGAAGGGUUGUUUGGCAGUGCGCAGCUGAGCAGCAGUAAUGAAAAUGCAUCAUGUGUGAAUUGGGAAAGUUUUUGCUUCUUCCUUUAUUACAGGUAAUCAGCACUGCAUAUAUGAGACCAAAGAGGUAGUACUGAUUAUUGUUGAACACAUAGACAAUAGAAUAAAUGAGGGGUUGUUGUUUUCUUUUCUUCUCCUUUUCUGCAUAGUAACUUCAGGGCUUUGGUAAGGUGUUAUUUUCUUUUUUUCUUUCUUUGAUUUUCUUUGGAGUCCCUCUGAUGACACCACGAAUCUGAGAAUGAAGAACUUCUUAGAGCUGAUUGGAAAUGGCAUUGCGGAGCUGAGACUUAACUGGAGGAAAUAUAUCUCCUGAAGAAGAAAAUAUAAUGCACUGUAAGGAUCUGACUUCUGGUGAAAAAUUCAAGCCUAGAGAAAACUUGUCUGCUUUGUUAGGAAGAAUGGGUUGGACAAUUUUCUUCAAUUCCAGAGGAUAUCUGAAUGCCAUGCUGAGCUUAAUCUCUGCAGCAUGCUAUGUGCUUCUCAUGUCUUCCUGAUGCACUGCAUGGUUAUCCUGAAGGGGAGGAUAAAGAAACUGGCCACCAAGAUGGUAAUCACUAGUGGAAAUGAAGAAGAUAAAGGCAGUCAAGAAAAGGAAA